rnacentral:lncRNA from 1 species
UAGGGUUUAGGGUUGGAUUAGGGUUUGGUUUAGGGUUUGAUUUAGGAUUUGGUUUAGGGUUUAGGAUUUGGAAUAGGGUUUAAUUUAAGAUUUGUUUAGGAUUUGACUUAGAGUUUAGGAAUUAUUAGGGUUUAAGAUUUAAUUAGAUUUGGUCUAAAGUUGAGUGAAAUUCAAUAGGGUUUUAACUAUAAUUAAAUUAAGGUUGAAUUGACAUAUAUUUGAGUAAAAUUUGUGAUCAUUCUAAUAUUUCUUUAAGAAUUUUAUUGUUU